rnacentral:rRNA from 1 species
UACGAAGGGGGCUAGCGUUGCUCGGAAUCACUGGGCGUAAAGCGCACGUAGGCGGCUUUUUAAGUCAGGGGUGAAAUCCUGGAGCUCAACUCCAGAACUGCCUUUGAUACUGGGAAGCUCGAGUCCGGGAGAGGUGAGUGGAACUCCGAGUGUAGAGGUGAAAUUCGUAGAUAUUCGGAGGAACACCGGUGGCGAAGGCGGCUACCUGGCCCAACAUUGACACUGAGACCCGAAAGCGUGGGGAUCAAACAGG